rnacentral:rRNA from 1 species
UGCCCUAGUAACGGCGAGUGAAGCGGCAACAGCUCAAAUUUGAAAUCUGGCGCAAGCCCGAGUUGUAAUUUGUAGAGGAUGCUUCUGGGCAGCGGCCGGUCUAAGUUCCUUGGAACAGGACGUCACGGAGGGUGAGAAUCCCGUAUGUGACCGGCGCGCACCCUCCACGUAGCUCCUUCGACGAGUCGAGUUGUUUGGGAAUGCAGCUCUAAAUGGGAGGUAAAUUUCUUCUAAAGCUAAAUACCGGCCAGAGACCGAUAGCGCACAAGUAGAGUGAUCGAAAGAUGAAAAGCACUUUGGAAAGAGAGUUAAAAAGCACGUGAAAUUGUUGAAAGGGAAGCGCUUGCAACCAGACUCCGCGGCGGUGUUCCGCCGGUCUUCUGACCGGUCUACUCGCCGCCGCGGGGCCAACAUCGUCUGGGGCCGCCGGACAAGACUGGAGGAAUGUGGCUCCCUCGGGAGUGUUAUAGCCUUCAGUGAUGCGGCGCGUCCCGGGCGAGGUCCGCGCUUCGGCAAGGAUGUUGGCGUAAUGGUUGCCAGCGGCCCGUCUUGAAACACGGACCAAGGAGUCUAACAUCUAUGCGAGUGUUCGGGUGUCAAACCCCUACGCGUAAUGAAAGUGAACGGAGGUGGGAGCUUCGGCGCACCAUCGACCGAUCCUGAUGUCCUCGGAUGGAUUUGAGUAAGAGCAUAGCUGUUGGGACCCGAAAGAUGGUGAACUAUGCCUGAAUAGGGUGAAGCCAGAGGAAACUCUGGUGGAGGCUCGCAGCGGUUCUGACGUGCAAAUCGAUCGUCAAAUUUGGGUAUAGGGGCGAAAGAC